rnacentral:rRNA from 1 species
GGGGAAUUUUGGACAAUGGGCGCAAGCCUGAUCCAGCCAUGCCGCGUGUCUGAAGAAGGCCUUCGGGUUGUAAAGGACUUUUGUCAGGGAAGAAAAGGAUAGGGUUAAUACCCCUGUCUGAUGACGGUACCUGAAGAAUAAGCACCGGCUAACUACGUGCCAGCAGCCGCGGUAAUACGUAGGGUGCGAGCGUUAAUCGGAAUUACUGGGCGUAAAGCGGGCGCAGACGGUUACUUAAGCAGGAUGUGAAAUCCCCGGGCUCAACCUGGGAACUGCGUUCUGAACUGGGUAACUAGAGUGUGUCAGAGGGAGGUAGAAUUCCACGUGUAGCAGUGAAAUGCGUAGAGAUGUGGAGGAAUACCGAUGGCGAAGGCAGCCUCCUGGGAUAACACUGACGUUCAUGCCCGAAAGCGUGGGUAGCAAACAGGAUUAGAUACCCUGGUAGUCCACGCCCUAAACGAUGUCGAUUAGCUGUUGGGCAGCUUGACUGCUUAGUAGCGAAGCUAACGCGUGAAAUCGACCGCCUGGGGAGUACGGUCGCAAGAUUA